AUAUAAAAUAAAUAUACUGUCCAUCCAGAGGUGAAAACUAAAUAUGCUGUCUAUCCAGAGGUGAAAAUAUAAAAUAAAUAUAUGUCAAUCCAGAGGUGAAAAUAUAAAAUAAAUAUACUGUCUAUCCAGAGGAGAAAAUAUAAAAUAAAAAAAUGUCAAUCCAGAGGUGAGAACUAAAUAUGCUGUCUAUCCAGAGGUGAGAACUAAAUAUGCUGUCUAUCCAGAGGUGAAAAUAUAAAAUAAAUAUACUGUCUAUCCAGAGGUGAGAACUAAAUAUGCUGUCUAUCCAGAGGUGAGAACUAAAUAUGCUGUCUAUCCAGAGGUGAGAACUAAAUAUG